AUGCCUUACACAUGCAAGUCGAACGGCAGCAUGAUCUAGCUUGCUAGAUUGAUGGCGAGUGGCGAACGGGUGAGUAAUACAUCGGAACGUGCCCUGUAGUGGGGGAUAACUAGUCGAAAGAUUAGCUAAUACCGCAUACGACCUGAGGGUGAAAGUGGGGGACCGCAAGGCCUCAUGCUAUAGGAGCGGCCGAUGUCUGAUUAGCUAGUUGGUGAGGUAAAGGCUCACCAAGGCGACGAUCAGUAGCUGGUCUGAGAGGACGAUCAGCCACACUGGGACUGAGACACGGCCCAGACUCCUACGGGAGGCAGCAGUGGGGAAUUUUGGACAAUGGGGGCAACCCUGAUCCAGCAAUGCCGCGUGUGUGAAGAAGGCCUUCGGGUUGUAAAGCACUUUUGUCCGGAAAGAAAUCGCACUUACUAAUAUUAGGUGUGGAUGACGGUACCGGAAGAAUAAGGACCGGCUAACUACGUGCCAGCAGCCGCGGUAAUACGUAGGGUCCAAGCGUUAAUCGGAAUUACUGGGCGUAAAGCGUGCGCAGGCGGUUGUGCAAGACCGAUGUGAAAUCCCCGGGCUUAACCUGGGAAUUGCAUUGGUGACUGCACGGCUAGAGUGUGUCAGAGGGGGGUAAAAUUCCACGUGUAGCAGUGAAAUGCGUAGAGAUGUGGAGGAAUACCGAUGGCGAAGGCAGCCCCCUGGGAUAACACUGACGCUCAUGCACGAAAGCGUGGGGAGCAAACAGGAUUAGAUACCCUGGUAGUCCACGCCCUAAACGAUGUCAACUAGUUGUUGGGGAUUCAUUUCCUUAGUAACGUAGCUAACGCGUGAAGUUGACCGCCUGGGGAGUACGGUCGCAAGAUUAAAACUCAAAGGAAUUGACGGGGACCCGCACAAGCGGUGGAUGAUGUGGAUUAAUUCGAUGCAACGCGAAAAACCUUACCUACCCUUGACAUGCCACUAACGAAGCAGAGAUGCAUUAGGUGCUCGAAAGAGAAAGUGGACACAGGUGCUGCACGGCUGUCGUCAGCUCGUGUCGUGAGAUGUUGGGUUAAGUCCCGCAACGAGCGCAACUCUUGUCUCUAGUUGCUACGAAAGGGCACUCUAGAGAGACUGCCGGUGACAAACCGGAGGAAGGUGGGGAUGACGUCAAGUCCUCAUGGCCCUUAUGGGUAGGGCUUCACACGUCAUACAAUGGUGCAUACAGAGGGUUGCCAAGCCGCGAGGUGGAGCUAAUCCCAGAAAAUGCAUCGUAGUCCGGAUCGUAGUCUGCAACUCGACUACGUGAAGCUGGAAUCGCUAGUAAUCGCGGAUCAGCAUGCCGCGGUGAAUACGUUCCCGGGUCUUGUACACACCGCCCGUCACACCAUGGGAGUGGGUUUUGCCAGAAGUAGUUAGCCUAACCGCAAGGGGGGCG
rnacentral:rRNA from 1 species